UACGAAGGGGGCUAGCGUUGCUCGGAAUCACUGGGCGUAAAGGGCGCGUAGGUGGCGUUUUAAGUCGGGGGUGAAAGCCUGUGGCUCAACCACAGAAUGGCCUUCGAUACUGGGACGCUUGAGUAUGGUAGAGGUUGGUGGAACUGCGAGUGUAGAGGUGAAAUUCGUAGAUAUUCGCAAGAACACCGGUGGCGAAGGCGGCCAACUGGACCAUUACUGACGCUGAGGCGCGAAAGCGUGGGGAGCAAACAGG
rnacentral:rRNA from 1 species